CGAGGGGCUCGCCUCCGCGUGAAUUUCAGGUUGGGAUGCAGUGUCGCCCGGGCAACCCUGCGCGAGCGCAUGCGCACAGCGAGAAACGUUUCCCCCACCCUACCCCCCCAUCAUCCUGAAACGCCCGGAAGUGGCGGCGGGGCAAUCUGGCUUCCGUACCAAUUCCUGCGCCUUACUCCGCCGCUGGGAGUUCCAUGAGGGACUUGGAGGAGAUGGAUGUCAGCAAAUGGCUGCCAGAUGUCCUGGCCUCAAUGGAGAAUGACUCCUAUCUAAAUGACAAUAGACUUGGGCCAACUACUCACUACAGAUGGAGGUCCCACCGAGAUCCGGAAAGAAGGGAAAUUGAAGAUUUACUCAAAGCCGGCCAGCAAGGGGCAGCAGCUUCGACUUUCCAUGCUCUCCUUCCUUCAACACCUGGGUCCUUCUGAAGCGACAUCGGGACCCAAAGGACCACUCUGGACCCCUCUGAAGCGACAUCAGGACCCAAAGGACCACUCUGGACUCCUCUGAAGGCACAUCGGGACCCAAAAGACCCCUUUGGACCCCUCUGAAGCGACAUCGGGACCCAAAAGACCUAUCCCAUUGCUCCCAGGGCUGCUGUCUGCUCAGCUCCGCCUCCACACGCAGUGCAGUGCUGCCGACAGUACCCCGCUAAAAGCAUCCCUCCCAUUCCUAGGUCCUCAGGUCUCAGCACCUUGACCAUGCUCCCACCCCUCCACCCCGAGGCUAGCCUCUAAUCUAGUCCUGUGUCCCUCUUGUCGUUGGACUUUCUGUGUUCCCUACCCCGUGGCCAAGGUCGUUGGUCCCUGAGGUUUACUGCUGUUACUGGCCCAGCACAACUGUUCCUGGCCCAGUGCCAAUCCGGGCGGGCUGUGGCUGCGCCGUAAGGUUCCUUUUCUUUGCACAGCCCUAUAAGGGCUCACCUCGUCCAAGGCUCCUAGGCCCUGGUCACAGUUCACCCCCAAAGACCUGUCUAGUUCUAAACUCAAAAGGCCUAACCAGCUAUUGCCCAGGGAAGCCUUGGUGACCCCUAUAGCCUCUGAAACCCCAUAACCUAAUGAGAAGGAGGAAGUCUGCCACACAAGGUGCCUGGAAGUUGCAGCAAUGUGUUCCAGACUCCUUAACCCUCAAGAGGAACUAGAGGCCCUCACCCUCUGAAUGGGGGCCGGAGAGGGGAUGGGGACCAGCCCUGCAGAUAUACAAAGGUCUUCCUUCUAUCUUAUUCACAUCCUGCCCUCCCAGACCAGCUGUCUGGAACCAACCAGCCCAGAACUUUCAGUUUGGGGUUAUUA